rnacentral:rRNA from 1 species
CUCCUUUGACGUUAGCGGCGGACGGGUGAGUAACACGUGGGUAACCUACCUAUAAGACUGGGAUAACUUCGGGAAACCGGAGCUAAUACCGGAUAAUAUUUCGAACCGCAUGGUUCGAUAGUGAAAGGUGGUUUUGCUAUCACUUAUAGAUGGACCCGCGCCGUAUUAGCUAGUUGGUAAGGUAACGGCUUACCAAGGCGACGAUACGUAGCCGACCUGAGAGGGUGAUCGGCCACACUGGAACUGAGACACGGUUCAGACUCCUACGGGAGGCAGCAGGA